rnacentral:rRNA from 1 species
GACGAACGCUGGCGGCGUGCUUAACACAUGCAAGUCGAACGGAAAGGCCCUGCUUUUGUGGGGUGCUCGAGUGGCGAACGGGUGAGUAACACGUGAGUAACCUGCCCUUGACUUUGGGAUAACUUCAGGAAACUGGGGCUAAUACCGGAUAGGAGCUCCUGCUGCAUGGUGGGGGUUGGAAAGUUUCGGCGGUUGGGGAUGGACUCGCGGCUUAUCAGCUUGCUGGUGGGGUAGUGGCUUACCAAGGCUUUGACGGGUAGCCGGCCUGAGAGGGUGACCGGCCACAUUGGGACUGAGAUACGGCCCAGACUCCUACGGGAGGCAGCAGUGGGGAAUAUUGCACAAUGGGCGGAAGCCUGAUGCAGCAACGCCGCGUGCGGGAUGACGGCCUUCGGGUUGUAAACCGCUUUCGCCUGUGACGAAGCGUGAGUGACGGUAAUGGGUAAAGAAGCACCGGCUAACUACGUGCCAGCAGCCGCGGUGAUACGUAGGGUGCGAGCGUUGUCCGGAUUUAUUGGGCGUAAAGGGCUCGUAGGUGGUUGAUCGCGUCGGAAGUGUAAUCUUGGGGCUUAACCCUGAGCGUGCUUUCGAUACGGGUUGACUUGAGGAAGGUAGGGGAGAAUGGAAUUCCUGGUGGAGCGGUGGAAUGCGCAGAUAUCAGGAGGAACACCAGUGGCGAAGGCGGUUCUCUGGGCCUUUCCUGACGCUGAGGAGCGAAAGCGUGGGGAGCGAACAGGCUUAGAUACCCUGGUAGUCCACGCUGUAAACGGUGGGUACUAGGUGUGGGGUCCAUUCCACGGGUUCCGUGCCGUAGCUAACGCUUUAAGUACCCCGCCUGGGGAGUACGGCCGCAAGGCUAAAACUCAAAGGAAUUGACGGGGCCCCGCACAAGCGGCGGAGCAUGCGGAUUAAUUCGAUGCAACGCGUAGAACCUUACCUGGGUUUGACAUGGAUCGGGAGCGCUCAGAGAUGGGUGUGCCUCUUUUGGGGUCGGUUCACAGGUGGUGCAUGGCUGUCGUCAGCUCGUGUCGUGAGAUGUUGGGUUAAGUCCCGCAACGAGCGCAACCCUUGUUCACUGUUGCCAGCACGUUAUGGUGGGGACUCAGUGGAGACCGCCGGGGUCAACUCGGAGGAAGGUGGGGAUGACGUCAAGUCAUCAUGCCCCUUAUGUCCAGGGCUUCACGCAUGCUACAAUGGCUGGUACAGAGAGUGGCGAGCCUGUGAGGGUGAGCGAAUCUCGGAAAGCCGGUCUCAGUUCGGAUUGGGGUCUGCAACUCGACCUCAUGAAGUCGGAGUCGCUAGUAAUCGCAGAUCAGCAACGCUGCGGUGAAUACGUUCCCGGGGCU